rnacentral:rRNA from 1 species
UCGCGCUAUACAUGCAAGUUGAGCGCUGAAGGUUGGUACUUGUACCGACUGGAUGAGCAGCGAACGGGUGAGUAACGCGUGGGGAAUCUGCCUUUGAGCGGGGGACAACAUUUGGAAACGAAUGCUAAUACCGCAUAAAAACUUUAAACACAAGUUUUAAGUUUGAAAGAUGCAAUUGCAUCACUCAAAGAUGAUCCCGCGUUGUAUUAGCUAGUUGGUGAGGUAAAGGCUCACCAAGGCGAUGAUACAUAGCCGACCUGAGAGGGUGAUCGGCCACAUUGGGACUGAGACACGGCCCAAACUCCUACGGGAGGCAGCAGUAGGGAAUCUUCGGCAAUGGACGAAAGUCUGACCGAGCAACGCCGCGUGAGUGAAGAAGGUUUUCGGAUCGUAAAACUCUGUUGGUAGAGAAGAACGUUGGUGAGAGUGGAAAGCUCAUCAAGUGACGGUAACUACCCAGAAAGGGACGGCUAACUACGUGCCAGCAGCCGCGGUAAUACGUAGGUCCCGAGCGUUGUCCGGAUUUAUUGGGCGUAAAGCGAGCGCAGGUGGUUUAUUAAGUCUGGUGUAAAAGGCAGUGGCUCAACCAUUGUAUGCAUUGGAAACUGGUAGACUUGAGUGCAGGAGAGGAGAGUGGAAUUCCAUGUGUAGCGGUGAAAUGCGUAGAUAUAUGGAGGAACACCGGUGGCGAAAGCGGCUCUCUGGCCUGUAACUGACACUGAGGCUCGAAAGCGUGGGGAGCAAACAGGAUUAGAUACCCUGGUAGUCCACGCCGUAAACGAUGAGUGCUAGAUGUAGGGAGCUAUAAGUUCUCUGUAUCGCAGCUAACGCAAUAAGCACUCCGCCUGGGGAGUACGACCGCAAGGUUGAAACUCAAAGGAAUUGACGGGGGCCCGCACAAGCGGUGGAGCAUGUGGUUUAAUUCGAAGCAACGCGAAGAACCUUACCAGGUCUUGACAUACUCGUGCUAUUCUAGAGGAUAGGAAGUUCCUUCGGGACACGGGAUACAGGUGGUGGCAUGGGUGUCGUCAGCUCGUGUCCUGAGAU